AGCUUCAAAGAGGAGCCCCUGGAAGCUAGAUCUUAAAAGGAUAAGUAAUAUUCAGGGGAAAGAGGUGAAGGGACACACUAGCAGGAGGAACAGCAUUUGUUCCUCCUGGACUUAUCACAGAGAUAUAAAUGGACAGAGCAAGUGUUAUUUUGUGGGACUGAAUCACUGGUCCAGGAAGUGGCAUUUGUAAUUUGAAGCAAUUCUAGAAAUCAGAAAAAUGUACAAAUACAUAUCAAGGAAGAAUUAUCUCACAAGAAUGCCUGGUCAGUGUUGAUUUGUCUGUCUCUGGACAUAAGAAAAUUAUUAUUUUAUGUGCAUGGAUUAACUUUCCUUAGCAGGGUGAUACACAGUUUUUAAUGGACAACUGCACCUCCAUACAUAUUAAUUACUCUGAUAAUAAACCAAUCAAGCUGCAUUUUUCUUCCCUGCUGAUUUGAUUGCCAUGCUAAUCACCACAA